UACGGGGGGAGCAAGCGUUGUUCGGAUUUACUGGGCGUAAAGGGCGCGUAGGCGGCUUUCCAAGUCACUUGUGAAAUCUCCGGGCUUAACUCGGAACGGUCAAGUGAUACUGUGAGGCUAGAGUGCGGAAGGGGCAACUGGAAUUCUCGGUGUAGCGGUGAAAUGCGCAGAUAUCAGGAGGAGCACCGGUGGCGAAGGCGGUUCUCUGGGCAUUACCUGACGCUGAGGAGCGAAAGCGUGGGGAGCGAACAGG
rnacentral:rRNA from 1 species